CGCGUGGGAACGUACCCUUUGCUACGGAAUAGCCUCGGGAAACUGGGAGUAAUACCGUAUGUGCCCUUCGGGGGAAAGAUUUAUCGGCAAAGGAUCGGCCCACGUUGGAUUAGGUAGUUGGUGGGGUAAUGGCCUACCAAGCCGACGAUCCAUAGCUGGUUUGAGAGGAUGAUCAGCCACACUGGGACUGAGACACGGCCCAGACUCCUACGGGAGGCAGCAGUGGGGAAUCUUAGACAAUGGGCGCAAGCCUGAUCUAGCCAUGCCGCGUGAGCGAUGAAGGCCUUAGGGUUGUAAAGCUCUUUCAGGGGGGAAGAUAAUGACUGUACCCCCAGAAGAAGCCCCGGCUAACUCCGUG
rnacentral:rRNA from 1 species